rnacentral:rRNA from 1 species
CCUACGGGAGGCUGCAGUGAGGAAUAUUGGUCAAUGGGCGGAAGCCUGAACCAGCCAAGUCGCGUGAGGGAAUAAGGCCCUACGGGUCGUAAACCUCUUUUACCAGGGAACAAGGUCGGGGACGUGUCCCUUCCCGUAGAGUACCCGUGGAUAAGGCAUGGGCUAACUCCGUGCCAGCAGCCGCGGUAAUACGGAGGAUGCGAGCGUUAUCCGGAUUUAUUGGGUUAAAGGGGUGCGUAGUCGGGCUUUUAAGUCAGCGGUAAAAAUUCGGGGCUCAACCUCGUCCGGCCGUUGAAACUGGGGGCCUUGAGUGGGCGAGAAGAAGGCGGAAUGCGUGGUGUAGCGGUGAAAUGCAUAGAUAUCACGCAGAACCCCGAUUGCGAAGGCAGCCUACCGGCGCCCUACUGACGCUGAGGCACGAAAGUGCGGGGAUCGAACAGGAUUAGAUACCCCUGUAGUC